CCAAUCCUUAAAAAUACCUCUUUGGCUUUAGAGCAAUUCAAAUAAGGUACAGCCUAUUUGAAACAGGGUACAACCUCAACUGACGGGUAAAUUAAACCUUUAACCACAAUCAAGUAGGCCUAAGAGCAGCCACCUUCAUAACAGCGUCAAAGCUUAUUUGUGGUCCACAACUAAUUCCUUAAACACCCAUUAACCCUCUAACAGUAUUGAGUAAUUCUAUGCAAUUAAUAGAACUUAUAAUGUUAAAACUAGUAACAAGAAGCAAGCCUUCUCCUCAAUGUAAGUGUGAAUCAGAAAGGAUAACCCACUGAUAAUUAACGUUCAUGAAUCCACAUUAGUGACUCCACAAGAAAGCCCUAAUAUUUCCCACGUUACCCUGACACAAGAACAUCUCAAGAAAGAUUAAAAGAAAAAGAAGGAACUCGGCAAACCAUUAGCCCCGCCUGUUUACCAAAAACAUCGCCUCUUGAAAAAGUAUAAGAGGUCCCGCCUGCCCAGUGACCCCAGUUCAACGGCCACGGUAUCCUAACCGCGCAAAGGUAGCGUAAUCACUUGUUCUUUAAAUUAGGACUAGUAUGAACGGCACCACGAGGGCUAUCCUGUCUCCUUUUUCUAAUCAGUGAAACUAAUCUCCCCGUGAAGAAGCGGGGAUGUACUUAUAAGACGAGAAGACCCUGUGGAGCUUCAAAUUUUUAUUUCAACUGCCGCACCUAUAAAAAGUUCCGACUAACCUUAAUUUACUAAGCAUUGUGACAAUAAAUUUUAGGUUGGGGCGACCAUGGAGAAUAGAAAAACCUCCACAUUGAAUUAGGCCUCUUAGCCUUGAGCCAAGAGCUACGACUCUAUGUACUAAAACAUUAACAUCCAUUGACCCAAUUAUUUGAGCAACGAACCAAGUUACCCCAGGGAUAACAGCGCAAUCUACUUUAAGAGCCCCUAUCGACAAGUGGGUUUACGACCUCGAUGUUGGAUCAGGGUAUCCCAGUGGUGCAGCCGCUACUAAAGGUUCGUUUGUUCAACGAUUAAAACCCU
rnacentral:rRNA from 1 species